rnacentral:tRNA from 1 species
UCGGAAGGUGCGGCUGGAUCACCUCCUUUCUGGAAAAAACAAGCGCAUUCAAAUUCAAUGCGCCUACGCUUAUCGGCUGUAUGGGUUGACACAACAGCGCCUGCGAGGGUCUGUAGCUCAGUCGGUUAGAGCACCGUCUUGAUAAGGCGGGGGUCGUUGGUUCGAAUCCAACCAGACCCACCAUCGCCUCGAGGGGGAUUAGCUCAGCUGGGAGAGCACCUGCUUUGCAAGCAGGGGGUCGUCGGUUCGAUCCCGUCAUCCUCCACCACGCCUUUGGGGCAAUCGUUCACGCCAGACCUUGGGUAAGCCGAAGUUUGGCGUGAACGAUUCGAAAGAAUUGGCUGUUGUUCUUUAACAAUUUGUAGAGUCGAAUCAGCGUUGUCGGCGGAAAGCCCGUCAUGGGGCACCGUGCCGCCGGCAACAUUUGAUUGCGUCACCAGACUUCAACACGAUGAAGCAAUUCAGCGAUGUUUGAAGAACGGCAUAACGCGAAUACUCAAUCUGAUCGCAAGAUCAGGGCAGUCCUUGACGAUGUCCGACAGCAUGGACAUCAAAGUUAUAGGGUCAAGUGACUAAGUGCAUGU